rnacentral:lncRNA from 1 species
GUUUUUGUGUUUUGGUCUGUUUUUCUUUUACUGUAUGCAAUAGGUCUACUAUAUGUGGUAUAUGGAAUGAUUUUAAGGUGUACAUGUCUAGCUGGCAGGUGUCAUCUGACCUUGACCUCAUUUUCAUGGUUCAGUGGUCAAAGUUAAGUUUUUGAGUUUUGGUCUUUUUUUCUAAUACUAUAUGCAAUAGGUCAACUAUAUUUGGUGUAUGGAAAUAUUUUAUGAUCUAUAUGUCAGUCGCGCAGAUUUUAUUUGACCUUGACCUCAUUU